GUUUCUGUAGUGUAGUGUAGUGGUUAUCACGUUCGCCUCACACGCGAAAGGUCCCCAGUUCGAAACUGGGCAGAAACA